rnacentral:rRNA from 1 species
UGAAUACGAGACGCUAAGGCGUCGAAGUAGUGUAUGUCAUACUUCCAAGAAAAGCUUGCACUGUCAUAGAUAAAAAACGCCUGUACCAUAACCGACACAGGUGGGUAGGUAGAGUAUACUAAGGGGCGCGAGAUAACUCUCUCUAAGGAACUCGGCAAAAUAACUCCGUAACUUCGGGAGAAGGAGUGCCUUAUUCGUAAGGUUGCAAUAACAAGAUCCAAGCAACUGUUUAUCAAAAACACAGGUCUCCGCUAAGUCGUAAGACGAUGUAUGGGGGCUGACGCCUGCCCAGUGCCAGAAGGUUAAAGAAGUUGGUUAGCAAUUGCGAAGCUGAUAACUGAAGCCCUGGUGAACGGCGGCCGUAACUAUAACGGUCCUAAGGUAGCGAAAUUCCUUGUCGGGUAAGUUCCGACCCGCACGAAAGGCGUAAUGAUUUGGAUACUGUCUCGGAGAGGGGCUCGGUGAAAUAGACUUGUCUGUGAAGAUGCGGACUACCUGCACCAGGACAGAAAGACCCUAUGAAGCUUUACUGUAACUUGAAAUUGAAAUUGGACUUUAUUCGCGCAGUAUAGGUGGGAGGCGUUGAUUAUAAUCUUGUGGGAUUAUUGGAGCCAUCAGUGAGAUACCACUCUUGUAAUGUUAGAUUUCUAACUUUGAAUCAUUAUCUGGACAAAGAACAGUUUCAGGCGGGCAGUUUGACCGGGGCGGUCGCCUCCUAAACGGUAACGGAGGCGUACAAAGGUUUCCUCUGAACGGUUAGAAAUCGUAUCUAGAGUGUAAAGGCAUAAGGAAGCUUGACUGUGAGACCUACAAGUCGAGCAGGGACGAAAGUCGGUCUUAGUGAUCUGACGGUACUGAGUGGAAAGGCCGUCACUCAACGGAUAAAAGUUACUCUAAGGAUAACAGGCUGAUCUCCCCCAAGAGUUCACAUCGACGGGGAGGUUUGGCACCUCGAUGUCGGCUCAUCGCAUCCUGGGGCGGUAGUACGUCCCAAGGGUUGGGCUGUUCGCCCAUGAAAGCGGUACGCGAGCUGGGUUCAGAACGUCGUGAGACAGUUCGGUCCAUAUCCGGUGUAGGCGUUAGAAUAUUGAGAGGAGCCUUCUUUAGUACGAGAGGACCGAGAAGGACAUACCUCUGGUGUACCAGUUAUCGUGCCAACGGUAAACGCUGGGUAGCUAUGUAUGGAGUGGAUAACCGCUGAAAGCAUCUAAGUGGGAAGCCCACCUCAAGAUAAG